GCUUUUCUGCACAGAAGAUUGGGGCACUGGGUUAAUGAAUCUUGAAGGAACUCUAGCCUUUGUUUGUCGAAGCUUGUUCGUGGGUGUGCAGAGAUCAGCAAACUUUGUGCAGUAACCAACUCUUUGCUUGAAUGCGUCAUUGCACAAGCAUAUUGAGUGGUGCAAACAAAAGCGGCAAUUAUCAAAGCCUCAAAGGUCUCUCGAAGCUUAUUUUUCUUUAAGGUGGCCAGAGACAAGAACAGCGACUAUACCGUAGCCAAGUAUCAGAACUCCAGGAUUUAAACUCAAGGGUGAGGCCUUCUUUUAUUUACCCAUUGGCUAUUUUGAGAAUAGGUGUUUUGAAAUAGAGAUCGGGACUGGCUCUUUUUGGCUAUGGUGUUUUGAAAGGAUGCAGGGGGUAAUUAUAUGUGGUGUUUAAGUGAAGUUGACAGAGUUCCUGUUAUCAUUUUUAUGUUGAAUCACGACCCUAUAUGGAAGCAAGGUCUGGAUGGUGAUCCACAAAGGGCCCUCUGUCAGUUCCGGUUUAUUAAACUGCCGAAACUUGAGGAUGAUAUCGGCACCCUAAGGCUUGCUGUUUCAAAGUUAUGAAAACAGUAUUGGCACCGUAAGGCACCGCCACCGGAGCUUUGAAAGUAGUUUCGGCACCCUAAGGCACGCCAAGUCGAAGCUCAACGACAAUAUCGGCACCCUAAGGCACGCCGUGUCGGAGCAUGAUAUUGAUACCCUACGGUAUCGCUGGAGGCCUGCAUCAUUGGAGAACAGCAAAGGAAAAGGUGCAGAUCGUUGAAAGUCUCACCCUCUUCCUUCUUGCUUUCUUCCUCUCCUCCGCUGCUCUCCCUCUGCUUCUUCCCGGUCUCCUGAUGUUGCUAUGUUCUAUAUUUUCGUCCUCCCUUUUUUUCUUUUUAUGCAAUGCUUUUUAUAUUGCACCGAUCAUGAGUUUGGUUUGUAUAAAACAUAGAGUUUUAGAGUUCAACUUGGAGUG
rnacentral:lncRNA from 1 species